rnacentral:lncRNA from 1 species
CUUGUUUGUAGGAAAGCUGGAUUCCCAAGUUAAUUCCUUCAGGGUUGGGGUUUGGGGUUCCAUUUUAAUUUUACCACACACUGUAACUUUUGUUUGGUCAUGAAGCAGACUCUGAUGGUGGGAAUUGCAGGUUGGGUGUGCCUGGCUCCAGCCUUCUGAACUCCAGAGCCUCCUCUGAGGUGCAUAAAUACUUAGGCAACAGAACUGCCCAGGGGAGUUUCUUCUGAAGAUCCACCUACAGGAGGCCUGAGGUGAGUAGGCUGCUUUAGCACAAGACUCGUCUCCAGAGAGAGAUGAAAACCGUGGCUCAAAUCAAUCUACAGCUGCGUUCUAGGGUUGCUACUGAGGAAUCCUUGGGGCGAUUCUAAGGGGAACUUCAAUAAUGUUCCCCAUCAAGGGGCCACUGGUAUCAAAUGACUAGCAACUUCUUGCCCCACUCUAUGAGAAGGGCAGCUGAGAUACUACAAAAAAUAAUCAAGUCUUCUAUUCUGCUCUUUCAUGAAAUUACCCCAAGAGGGAUGCUUAGUAAGCCUGUGCAGGUCUCAGGCUACUCUUAGCCUGGCUUCCAAGAGAGGAUCAUGUGACCAAAAUCCCCAUCAUAAUGAGAUUAGUACUUUAUCCUGAAGUAAGCCCUCACACCUAGGUACCCUAACCCUUUAACACUUUGGCUAGUCUCCCUUAGGGUGAAGAAGGCCCUUGGUAGGUGAGUUCCUUAGCUGUGAAAACACUUAGAUCACUUUCUCAAUGUUGGCCCAACUGGUUUAACUCUUUAGAUAUAGUUAAGGUAAAGGGACACACAGAAGGGUCAAUCUAUGACAACCAAAUUCAUCCCAUUGGCUUCUGAAUAUCUCCUCAAAUCUCGAAAUUAACAAACCUCAGGGCUGAGUUCUCAAUCUGUUAUUCUGUGGGAUGAGCAGAUAGCUGUGGAUAAUAAAUUUUCCUUUUACCAGUUAUCCAUUAUAAGUAAGUUGACAAAGUUUAGGAAUAGUUUUAGGAAUUUUGUAGCAUUUAUUUUUUGUUUAUCGAUGUCCUUUGAUUCAUUUACAGGAACUGUCUAUCAGGCCUGCCAUCUGAUCUUGAUCUAGCCCUUUAAAAUCUCUUUGUAGCAUUUGUCAACAUAAUAUAUCAAAAAUAACAGUGGGUAGAGCAAAUACCAUUUGUAAGUAGCAUGAGAAAGCCCUUCCUGCAUAUAGGUGCAUUUCUAAUAAUUUUCUAUGGUUCUGAGAUGAACUGGAUGCUCCCUACCAAAUGCAAUACAUACUGUAGAGUCUGCUCACCCCAGAAUGUCAUCUAGACUUACUAUUGCUUCAGGAUUCAGGAAUGACUUCAUUGGGGAAGUGACACUUGAAACCUGGCCUGGACAGUUAAGGGUCAGCAGGCAUUUUGGUGGGUGAAAGCAUGGCACCUUGGGGACACUCUAAAUGAGCCUUGGAGCCCACUGGGCCUCUAGCUGAAGUCCCAAUGUCUGUCUCUGAUGAUCUCAGCUGCUGGUAUAGUUUUCUAAGUAAAAUCAUGGCAGUCAUUUGCUUUUAAAUAUAGAGAAUUGCUUUGGUUUCUGCCACUCCUCAUCUGUCCUAAACCUGCCUUCAUUUUGACAUGGGUUCCCUGAAUUUGGUUCCUUUGCUUUUGGACAAGCUCUUUCCUUCUGCUCUGUCUUGGCAAUGACUUCUGGAAUGGAGAACUGCCAGAUUUUAUUCCAGCUUCUUCCAAAAGCAGCCUCUGCCUUAUUGAGCCUCCUUCUGCAGGGGGACAGCCUGUGGAGAACUGAUGUGAGCUGCUCACUGACCCAGGCUCCUGGCCCAGACCUGCUCUCCUUGUGUGACUGGGAUGGCAAUCUAGUACCCAGGGAGUAACCUGGGUGGCAGAAAGGGCCAGGUUGCUGAGUUCUUUGCUGUUAAGUUAAGGCAUUUGGAGUCUCUCCAUAGCGAUGGUGAGUAACUGGAUGGAUUUAAGUAAUAGUGUGAGAAAAUCAAUAUCCAUUUCAGAACAAGGAGCUCAGUGGUCUGACGGAAAAUGAACGAGGUGGGGAACACAGUCAGGAAGCUGGGCCAAUGCUCAAGUGAGGGAUGAGGAAUGUGGGAAAGAGCAGAGAGGACCCAUGAAGAAAUGAGACUCGGGAGAUUUCAAAAGGUGAUGUUGAUGGGCAUUGUGCACUUGAUUUAAGAGUGAGAGAGUGGGAAAGAGAGGUUAAAGGAACUCAGAAGAUGAUGGUGCCAUAUUCCUUGUAAUUAAUUGGGAACAUUGGAGGUAUUCAUGCUCAAGGAGAAAUUAACAGGACAAUAAUGGACUUAGUCACACUUGUGUUUGGGAUUCCUGUGAGGGGGUCCAAGAGUAGCAGCCCAGGAGGGUUAGAAAGUGUGAGGAGAGAAG